UUUUUUUUUUUUUUUUUUUUUUCUUUUAUGUUGAACUUUUUACUUGACUCAGUAGAAAGUGAGAAUGUGAUUAUCUGUUUAGUAAUGUGCAACUUUACAUUUUAGACUCAUUAGUGUAAAAAGAGAGCAAGCUAAUAACAGGUCCAUUGAUUAUUGUUGAGACCUGGAAUUAAGCUAGAAUUUUAAUACACUAAUUCUUCAUGAAAUUGGGAGUUCUCAAAAAUUUUUUUUAGAAGUUAGAUGUAAAUAAUUAUAAAAAUGACAUUAAAUUUUUAAAUAAAAUUCAAAAAGAACCUUCUAAUAUGCCAAAAGAUGUAAGAUACGGGUAAUAAAAUUGACAGUGCCAGCAUUUUGUAUUUGUAAGCCUGUAUUUGUCUUUGUAUAGAGCUACAACUUAAAAACAGCCUUAAACUCAAAGAUAAAUCAAGCCUUUUCAUAAAGGCUUUUGGCUCCCACAACAGGCGUUUUGAAUCAUACAAUGUCAGAGACAAUUUUUCUUCUAAUUCCAAACAGCCAUGUGUGAAGGGGAGCAUUUGGGCUUAUUUAAUUAGCAAGUGCUAAUUUAUGAAAAAUUAGAAUUUGGGUUUCAUAAGUAUUAGUGUGCUGUGCGUGUGUAUAAUCCCAGCAUUUAGGAUGUUAGAGAUCAAGGGUUUAGCUAAAGUCCAUCUAAAUUUGUAGAUAGCUAUUUUGUGGGUCAUGUAGGCUGAUACCGUGGUCUGCAUACUUUUUUAUUUUUGUGGUAAAUUUGUAGUACACAGAAAAACAUUUAUAAAUUGUGGGGGUGGUUUUUUUUUUUCCUGGCCAAAAAAUAGCUAUGCGGUAAUUAAAUAUAUUGUCCAGGAUGUUUGUAACAAUUAUUUUUAUCUUUUGAAGGCUAAAGAACGUGCCAAUGGAAUGGAGCUUGAUGGGCGUCGAAUUAGAGUCGAUUUCUCUAUAACAAAAAGGCCCCAUACCCCAACACCAGGAAUUUAUAUGGGGAGACCCACUUAGUAAGUAACUUCUUUGUGUGUAAGAAUGGGUGGGUACUUGAGGCACAGUGUUGGGUAUCUUUCUCUAUCACGGUCCAUCCCCUACCCCCCCAUCUCGUGACAUCUUUUUAAAAGAAAUGGUUAAAUACUGUAUACAUGCACUACCGCAUGUAUGUAAGAUUGUGGAGGCGAGUUCUUCCUUACGCUUUUAUGAGGGGUCUGGAGCGAACAUGCUCCACACGUGUUCCUGCCUCCCAUUCUCGGGUCCUCUUUCUUUUUCUUUUCCCUUUUUAAAAAUAUCCAUAUGCUUCAUGACUGUGUAGCCAUCUGCUGGAUCAUGCUCAACCUACUAUGCUUUACACCUUCCUAAAUAACCUGCUCUUCACCACCAGCAGCCAUCAGCUGCAUAGAGCUGGUUCCUUAGGUAGGGGAGGGGCCUCCUUAGGUAGGGAACAUCCCCUCACCCCCAAAUGCUGGAAUGUUAAUUGAUACAGGUAACUAAACUGCAGCUACCAUUAGUUCUAGAGUGCAAUCUGUAGCUUUAGAAUCUUUCUCCUGUUUUCCUGAUGUUUGAGUUUGGAGUGGGGGAUCAUUCAAUAUUGAUGUCCCGUUUAUGGUUGAACACACUCCUACACACUUAGUCUGCUGUCCAAUGCCAAAAGAAGCUUCUUUUGGUGUACUGGGUUGCUCCAAAUCAUGGUCCCAGCUUCAAGUUUUUGUUUUUGUAAAAGAUUUAUUUUAUUUAUAUGAGUAUACUGUAGCUUUCUUCACACACUCCAGAAGAGGGCAUCAGAUCUCAUUAUGGAUGGUUGUAAGUCACCAUGUGGUUGUUGGGAUUUGAACUCAGGACCUCUGGAAGAGCAGUCAGUGCUCUUAAAUGCUGAGUCAUCUCUCCAGACCCCCAGCUUCAAGUUUUGAAAGAGUGUUUCAGUGAAUCUAGAGUUUACUGACUGGCUGCAGUGAGCUUCUGUGACCUUCCUGUAUGUCACUAUACAUUAUGUUGGUGCCAGUGACCUAUUUCAGACCUCAUACUUAAGCAGUAGUUUACUGAUUGAUUCAUCUUCAGAACCUCUAAAUACAAUUUAUUCUUAGAAAUCGUGAGGGGGCCGGGCGGUUGGUGGUGCACACCUUUAAUCCCAGCACUUGGGAGGCAGAGGCAGGCGGAUUUCUGAGUUCCAGGACAGCCAGGGCUACACAGAGAAACCCUGUCUCCAAAAUCAAAAAAAAAAAGUGAGGGGAUGGGUUCAAUCGCAGAUGUUAAAGAACAUCUUACUCACUUAAGUCUCAGCUUCAAAUCAAUUUUUUUUUUGAGGUAGGGUAUUAAUGGAGCCUUUAUUCCCAGCACUUGGGAGGCAGAGGCAAGCAGGGCCACAGAGUGAAAACUGUCUCAAAACAACAGCAACAAAACAAAGGCAGAAUCCUUACCAUACAACCUGAGCUACUCUCAAACUCACCUUGUGUGCCACCGCCCAGCAGUUGGUUGACUUUUAAUACAAACUCAGUUGAAUAUGUGUACUCCUAAAAUUUUCAGAACAUUGCACAGGAAUAUACACAUAAAGUGUAGCGAGGGAAAAGAAAAGGUAGUAUUAAUACUAAAGAGGUCUAUUAGACAUCUCUAGUUUUUGUGCAGGAAAACCAAAGAGACAUUUGCUUAAUCAUAUCCAAGGUACUAGGUUGAAUUGAGUUCUCUUCUGUCUGUGAAGACAUAUUUUAGCAAGAGGGAGACUAAAGAUAGAAUGUUGUCGCUUACAGUGGCAGUUCUCGCCGCCGAGACUAUUAUGACAGAGGGUACGAUCGGGGUUAUGAUGACCGGGACUAUUACAGCAGAUCAUACAGGUGAGUCAGUUCACACUGAAAGCACUGCAAAAGCUAAGCUCUCUUAGAAUGUAAGAAAUAGCCGGGACUUAGGGCAAAAUUUAAUAGUUAGGUCUAAUUGGAUAUGUAGUUGGAUGCCUGGUUGGUUAGCUUUUAAAGAUAAAUGAAGAAAAACUUAGCUAAGAGAGGUGAAACUUAAUUUUUUUCUGUUACUGUAUGGCCAACAGUAAUUCUAAACCUUUAGUGUAAACUUAAGUAUGGGUCACAACUCUUGGCUUAAUUCAUUGAUUUGGUAUUUUCAUGUUCAAGAUAUGGACAAUUGUUCAUGAACUCUUUCCUGUGGAAGUAAGUCUCUAAUAAGUCCAGACUUCUACCAAAAUGGCAUUUCCCUACCCCAAUAGUCAUUCCUGUGUUUCGUGGUACUUAGGACUGAGAAGUUAAAGGUCUUUAUUGAGAGCAACUGUGUUAUUUCAGAAAGGGCUCUUUAUCAUGUUAACUAUAAGAAAAUUGGGUUUUGUCCUUUGUUGUGGUGAUUGUUUCAACUAAACAAUUUACUCCUUUUUCUGUCUUUACAGAGGAGGAGGUGGUGGAGGAGGUGGAUGGAGAGCAGCUCAAGACAGGGAUCAGAUUUACAGGUGUGCUAAAGGGUUUUAAGUCUGGAUACAGUAGAAUGCUGGUAAAAAAUGUUUGCCUGAAUCUUAGUAGCUUUCCUCUUAGUGGCAAAACAGGUUUUGAGACAGGGAGGGUCCUGGAACUCAGAGAUCUGUCUGCUUCUAUUUCCCAAGUGCUGGGGUUAAAGACGUGCCCUAUCAUAUCUGGCUAUUUAUUUAUUUAUUUAUUUAGAUUUAUUUAUUGGUUAUAUGUAAGUACACUGUAGCUGUCUUCAGACACUCCAGAAGAGAGAGUCAGAUCUCGUUACGGAUGGUUGUGAGCCACCAUGUGGUUGCUGGGAUUUGAACUCUGGACCUUCAGAAGAACAGUCGGGUGCUCUUACCCACUGAGCCAUCUCACCGGCCCUUUAUUUUUUAAAGAUUGAUUUAUUUCUGUAUUUUGCCUGUAUUUAUUUCUACAUUCAUACUUGGAUGUAUCCUUGGAGGACAGAAGAGGGUUUCCACAUUUGUGAGCCAGCCUUUUAGGUGCUGGGAAUCAAAGUGCUAGGGCAGCCAUUGCUCUUUGCUGUUACCCACCUCUCUCUAGCCAUGGGAUUUGAUUUCUUAAAGUUUGCAAAAGUAGUUUUCAAGCCGGGCGUGGUGGUGCACGCCUUUAAUACCAGCACUCGGAGGCAGAGGCCGGCCAGGGCUACACAGAGAAACCCUGUCUCAAAAAACC
rnacentral:lncRNA from 1 species